GUGAAGAGGCACGAGCUGGGAGGCUGGUCACUGCAGGGGCUGCCCCGGAGCCCACUGAACCCAGUUGUAUUAACCAUUUGGUGGCUGACAAGGAGCUGAUCUUGGGUCCUGAAGAAAGGAAUGGAUGGAUCUUGGCCCAGGACAGCUGCUGUGAAAGGUCCCUUUAGACGAGAGAAGCCACACCCAUUCACUUACUGGACCCAGGCUGGUGGUGGAGUCAUAAAAGUGGCCCUGGACCCAGAAGAGGAGGCCAUGCCCAGACGCACUACCAUCAGCCAGGGGCGUUGAGAUUCCGUCCCAGGACAAUGAUCAUCAGCCUGACUUCCGAUUCUGAUUCAGGGAGUUAAUGGCAAAGCUGAGACUGGAGGCUGGGCCACUGGACCUUUCUACAAGAUCCUUCCAGUCUCUCCUUGAUCUUGACUUUGUUAACAUUUUAACUCUUUCAUAACUGUUUGCAGAGGAUCAGAAAGACAGAGCCCACACUGUGUGCCUGGGCUUGUGCCCCUUGCAGAUACGGGUGGUCCUGCAGGCAACAUGAUCUUCUCAGGGCACUUUGAGUGGACUUCGGGUCAGAGGGAACAACGCUGGCUAACGGGGCUGUUACUCUGUACUGGGCCCUGGGCCAGAUGCUUCAUGUGCAUUAACUCACUGGAUCCUCACAACAGUAUCCCCACUGUGCAGAUGAAAACGCCGAGGCACAGAGAGGUUAUGUAAUUUGCCCAUGGUCACACAGCUAGUGAGUGGUGAAGCCAGGAUCAAACCCAGGCAGUCUGGCGCCUCAGCCUGAGCUCUUCCCAUCACUCCAGAGAGCCUGUGCCAGGUCUUGGGAAACAGGCAGGGAAUAGUCUGUUGAUGUUUCCUGGGUGCCCUGCUGCCACUGCCCUGGCUCAGCCCACAUCUCUCGCACCUGACCGCAUUCCAGCCUCUCCACUGAGUACCAUGGCUGUAGCGUAGCCCACCCAACCAUCCGCUACUCCCGCCUGCAGGACCAUGCCAACACAGAGAGCCUCCUGACACGACACUCCCGUUGUUCCUCCCCAGCCCUCUUUAAUGGCUCCCAAUUGUCUGAUUUCUGGGUGUUCCCAACCCAUCUAGUCUGAUCUCCCACCACACCUUUCAUGGAUCCUGACAGCCAAACAAGGAUUUACCAACUUGUUCAUACAACACUUUUCCCACCUUCCAGCCUUUAUCCAAGCUGUUCUUCCUGCCUGGAAUGCCUGUUCUCACCCGCCCAUGGCUCUUUCAUGACUGCUUCCCAGGCCCUGUGCUUGGCAGGUGCUCACCAACGGGAUACUAUGUGUCCAUGUUGCUUUGUUGCAGAGGAAUUUUUAUUUUUUCUCUUUCUGGAUCCUAAAAAGAAUACAAGUUCACAUUAGAAAAUCUGGAAAAUUGAGACAAUCUCUCAGAGAAAAAUUAAAGAUAGCCUGAAAUCCUACAUCCACUGUCAAUAUUUUGAUAUAUAUCUUUUCAAUCUUUCUUUUCAUUUUUAAUAUUGUGAAAUAUUUCAAACACAGACAGAAUGGAGAAUAAUAUAACAUUCUCUGGUGCAUCCACCUUUUCUUUUAUCAACCCAGUAGUUUUUCUUUUCUUUUUUUUUUAUUAUUAUACUUUAAGUUUUAGGGUACAUGUGCACAAUGUGUAGGUUAGUUACAUAUGUAUACAUGUGACAUGCGGGUGUGCUGCACCCACUAACUCAUCAUCUAGCAUUAGGUAUAUCUCCCAAUGCUCUCCCUCCCUCCUCCCCCCACCCGACAACAGUCCCCAGAGUGUGAUGUUCCCCUUCCUGUGUCCAUGUGUUCUCAUUGUUCAAUUCCCACCUAUGAGUGAGAAUAUGCGGUGUUUGGUUUUUUUGUUCUUGCAAUAGUUUACUGAGAAUGAUGAUUUCCAAUUUCAUCCAUGUCCCUACAAAGGACAUGAACUCAUCAUUUUUUAUGGCUGCAUAGUAUUCCAUGGUGUAUAUGUGCCACAUUUUCUUUUUUUUUUUUUUUGAGACGGAGUCUCGCUCUGUCGCCCAGGCCGGGCUGCGGACUGCAGUGGCGCAAUCUCGGCUCACUGCAAGCUCCG
rnacentral:lncRNA from 10 species